GCAGAUACGGGAAAUCAUGCUAGUUCUAAGAAUGACUCAAAGUCGAGUACCUUGGGAGCAGCCAUGGGAUAUUCUUCGGGCAAAAAUAAUUCCAACUUGAAAACCCCACCUAAAAUCUCAAACAAGAAAAGGGAUAUUAAAAACAACAUUCAACAACCAGACCAAGCACCAUAUAAGACUGGAAAAGCAUUUGACACAAGUCUCAAGAC